AUUGAACGCUGGCGGCAUGCCUUACACAUGCAAGUCGAACGGCAGCACGGGAGCAAUCCUGGUGGCGAGUGGCGAACGGGUGAGUAAUAUAUCGGAACGUGCCCAGUCGUGGGGGAUAACGCAGCGAAAGCUGUGCUAAUACCGCAUACGAUCUACGGAUGAAAGCGGGGGAUCGCAAGACCUCGCGCGAUUGGAGCGGCCGAUAUCAGAUUAGCUAGUUGGUGGGGUAAAGGCCCACCAAGGCGACGAUCUGUAGCUGGGCUGAGAGGACGACCAGCCACACUGGAACUGAGACACGGGACAGACUCCUACGGGAGGCAGCAGUGGGGAAUUUUGGACAAUGGGCGCAAGCCUGAUCCAGCAAUGCCGCGUGCAGGAUGAAGGCCUUCGGGUUGUAAACUGCUUUUGUACGGAACGAAACGGCCCUUUCUAAUACAGGGGGCUAAUGACGGUACCGUAAGAAUAAGCACCGGCUAACUACGUGCCAGCCGCCGCGGUAAAAC
rnacentral:rRNA from 1 species